rnacentral:rRNA from 1 species
AUACGGAGGAUGCGAGCGUUAUCCGGAUUUAUUAGGUUUAAAGGGUGUGUAGGCGGUAUUUUAAGUCAGUGGUGAAAUCUUUCAGCUUAACUGAGAAACUGCCAUUGAUACUGGAAUACUUGAGUAUAGUUGAGGUAGGCGGAAUAUGUAAUGUAGCGGUGAAAUGCAUAGAUAUUACAUAGAACACCGAUUGCGAAGGCAGCUUACUAAACUAUUACUGACGCUGAUGCACGAAAGCGUGGGGAGCGAACAGGAUUAGAAACCCUUGUAGUCC